rnacentral:misc_RNA from 1 species
UGGCUCUAGCAUCGAUGAAGAACGCAGCGAAAUGCGAUAAGUAAUGCGAAUUGCAGAAUUCCGCGAGUCAUCGAAUCUUUGAACGCACAUUGCGCCUGCUAGUAUUCUGGCAGGCAUGCCUGUCCGAGCGUCAUUUCAACCCCCAGGCCCUCGUUGCCUGUUGUUGGGGUCUUUCAGGGGACGGUCCAGCGGAUCGGCACCCUGAGCCCUGAAAAGCAGUGGCGGGCUCGCCAGGUCACCGAGCGCAGUAAUUCUCUCUCGCUUAGGGGACCCGGCGGGUGCCAGCCGUGAAAAACGCUAUAAACGCACUUCUAACAGUGGUUUGACCUCGGAUCAGGUAGGAAUACCCGCUGA